CCUACGGGUGGCAGCAGUGAGGAAUAUUGGUCAAUGGGCUUACGCCUGAACCAGCCAAGUCGCGUGAGGGAAGACUGCCCUAUGGGUUGUAAACCUCUUUUGUCAGGGAGCAAUUGGCGCUACGUGUAGCGUUAUCGAGAGUACCUGAAGAAAAAGCAUCGGCUAACUACGUGCCAGCAGCCGCGGUAAUACGUAGGGGGCAAGCGUUAUCCGGAUUUACUGGGUGUAAAGGGAGCGUAGACGGCAGUGCAAGUCCGGAGUGAAAGCCCGGGGCCCAACCCCGGGACUGCUCUUGAAACUGCAUGGCUGGAGUACAGGAGGGGCAGGCGGAAUUCCUAGUGUAGCGGUGAAAUGCGUAGAUAUUAGGAGGAACACCGGUGGCGAAGGCGGCCUGCUGGACUGUGACUGACGUUGAGGCCCGAAGGCGUGGGGAGCAAACAGGAUUAGAUACCCCGGUAGUC
rnacentral:rRNA from 1 species